rnacentral:rRNA from 1 species
AUUGAACGCUGGCGGCAUGCCUUACACAUGCCAGUCGAACGGUAACGGGCCUUCGGGUGCCGACGAGUGGCGAACGGGUGAGUAAUACAUCGGAACGUGCACGAUCGUGGGGGAUAACGAGGCGAAAGCUUUGCUAAUACCGCAUACGAUCUACGGAUGAAAGCAGGGGACCGCAAGGCCUUGCGCGGACGGAGCGGCCGAUGGCAGAUUAGGUAGUUGGUGGGAUAAAAGCUUACCAAGCCGACGAUCUGUAGCUGGUCUGAGAGGAUGAUCAGCCACACUGGGACUGAGACACGGCCCAGACUCCUACGGGAGGCAGCAGUGGGGAAUUUUGGACAAUGGGCGCAAGCCUGAUCCAGCCAUGCCGCGUGCAGGAUGAAGGCCUUCGGGUUGUAAACUGCUUUUGUACGGAACGAAAAGCCUUCUUUUAAUACAGGAGGGUCAUGACGGUACCGUAAGAAUAAGCACCGGCUAACUACGU